ACUGCCCCUAGAAGCUUUGCAGGUGUGGCUGCUGUGUCACAUGUGUAUCAGUAGGUGGCAGAGACGAAAGGCUACAACUGUGCUCAGUGUUCUGCCCUGUGAACAUCUGAAUGAUUACUAACUUAACAUU